AAUCAAAUUUAUAGAUCAGAUGGGCAUGCCCACCUAGCUAGUGUGUGUAACGCAACAAGCGACGAUGUUAGGGAUCUGAGAGAUGACCCCCACACUGUACUGAGACACGACAGACUCUACGGAGGCAGCAGUAGGAAUAUGGUCAAUGACGAAGUCUGACCAGCAUGCCGCGUGCAGGAAGACGGCCCUACGGGUUGUAACUGCUUUGCAGGGAAUAACUCGAUACGUGUAUCGAGUUGAAUGUACCUUGAGAAUAAGGAUCGGCUAACUCCGUGCCAGCAGCCGCGGUAAUACGGAGGAUCCAAGCGUUAUCCGGAUUUAUUGGUUUAAAGGGUGCGUAGGCGGCUUUUUAAGUCAGGGGUGAAAGACGGUAGCUCAACUAUCGCAGUGCCCUUGAUACUGAAGAGCUUGAAUGUACUUGAGGUAGGCGGAAUGUGACAAGUAGCGGUGAAAUGCAUAGAUAUGUCACAGAACACCAAUUGCGAAGGCAGCUUACUAAAGUAUGAUUGACGCUGAGGCACGAAAGCGUGGGGAUCAAACGGGAUUAGAUACCCUGGUAGUCCACGCCCUAAACGAUGAACACUCGAUGUUGGCGAUAUACGGUCAGCGUCUAAGCGAAAGCGUUAAGUGUUCCACCUGGGGAGUACGCCCGCAAGGGUGAAACUCAAAGGAAUUGACGGGGGCCCGCACAAGCGGAGGAGCAUGUGGUUUAAUUCGAUGAUACGCGAGGAACCUUACCCGGGCUUGAAAGUUAGUGAAUGUGACAGAGACGUCACAGUUCUUCGGAACACGAAACUAGGUGCUGCAUGGCUGUCGCCAGCUCGUGCCGUGAGGUGUUGGGUUAAGUCCCGCAACGAGCGCAACCCCUAUGUUUAGUUGCCAGCAUUUAAGGUGGGGACUCUAAACAGACUGCCUAUGCAAAUAGAGAGGAAGGAGGGGACGACGUCAAGUCAUCAUGGCUUUACGGGCGGUGUGUACACACCCGCUACAAUUGCUGGUACAGUGGGCAGCUAUCUGG
rnacentral:rRNA from 1 species